rnacentral:rRNA from 1 species
ACGUAGGUGGCAAGCGUUGUCCGGAAUUACUGGGUGUAAAGGGCGCGUAGGCGGGCGACCAAGUCAGAUGUGAAAUAUCCCGGCUUAACCGGGGGGCUGCAAUUGAAACUGGUCGUCUUGAGUGAUGGAGAGGCAGGCGGAAUUUUCGGUGUAGCGGUGAAAUGCUUAGAUAUCAGGAGGAACACCGGUCGCGAAGGCAGCCUACUGGACAUUAACUGACGCUCAUGCGCGAAAGCGUGGGGAUCAAACAG